ACUCUUCCUCAACGAGGCUUGGGCAGAAUAGUAGAGAAAGUACAAGUAUUAGUAGCAUAGCAAAAAUGUGUUCUUUGUCAUUAAUAUGUUUGCUCGUGGUAAUUGUGGCCUCUCGGGAGAAUCGAUGACUGCAUCUUUGAUGCACUUGCUAGUACUAGUACGUACAUCUGAAAAUUCUUAAUUGGCUAGUUGUAAAUAGCCCCAGACUAUGGAACAAAGGAUUAUACCGGACUUACCUAUACCGAGGUAUUGACGGUGAUUCUCAAAUAUCGCAGAACAGAAUGUGAUAUGAUGAGAUAGAAUGCAAUAGAAAGAAAGACACAGGGAACGGGUUACCACGGUCAAAGCAAACCCUUUCAUUCCGACAUUCCGAAUUAAAGAAUUUGGAAUGAAUCCAAUCUCCCCAAGUAGGAUUUGAACCUACGACCAGUCAGUUAAUAGCCGACCGCUCUACCACUGAGCUACUAAGGAACAACGUGAGAUUAGAUCUCAUAGAGUUCAAUUCCCGUUCUCAACCCAUAACCAAUAUAAGCUCGAAGUUUCCUUCGUAACUCCCGGAACUUCUUCGUAGUUUCUUCGUUCCAUGCCUCAUUUCAUAGGGAACCUCAAAGUGGCUCUAUUUCAUUAUAUUCCAUCCAUAUCCCCAUUCUAUUCAUUUAAUAUCCCCUUUCCUUUGGUGUCAUUGACAUAAGAGAUGUCGUUUCUAGUCUAUCUCUUUCUAUUUCUAUAUUCUAUUUCUAUAUAUAUAUGGAAAGUUUAAAAAUCAUCAUAUAAUAAUGCAGAAAUUGCAAUAGAAAAGAAAAAGGGAGGUUUGUGAUGAUUUUUAAAUCUUUUAUACUAGGUAAUCUAGUANNNUUUGUAACAAGUAGUUUUGUUGGUUGGUUAAUUGGUCACAUUUUAUUCAUGAAAUGGGUUGGAUUGAUAUUAGUCUGGAUACAACAAAAUAAUUCUAUUAGAUCUAAUGUACUUUUUCGAUCUAAUAAGUACCUUGUGUCAGAACUGAGAAAUUCUAUGGCUUGAAUCUUUAGUAUUCUCUUAUUUAUUACCUGCGUCUACUCUUUAGGCAGAAUACCGUCACCCAUUUUUACUAAGAAACUGAAAGAAACCUCAGAAACGGAAGAAAGGGAGGAAAGUGAGGAAGAAACAGAUGUAGAAAUAAAAACAACUUCUGAAACGAAGGGGACUAAACAGGGAUCCAUCGAAGAAGAUCCCUCUUCUUCCAUUUUUUCGGAAGAAAAGAAGGAUCGGGACAAAAUCGACAAAACGGAAGAGAUCCAAGUGAAUGGAAAGGAAAAAACAAAGGAUGAAUUUCAUUUUCACUUUAACGAGACAUGCUAUAAAAAUAGACCAUUUUAUGAAACUUUUUAUCUGGAUGGGAAUCAAGAAAAUUCGAAGUUAGAAAUAUUGAUAGAAAAAAAAAAAAAAAAUCUUUUCUGGUUUGAAAAACCUAUUGUAACUAUUCUUUUUGACUCGAAACGUUAGAAUCGUCCAUUACGAUAUAUAAAAAAUAAUUAGUUUGAGAAUGCUGGAAUGCUAUAUAAAUGUUAAAUGUAAAUAAUAAAUUCAAUUUAUUUAAAUAAUAUAAAUAAUUAAUAAAUUUAAAUAAUAAAUAUACAUAUAAUAAAUAUAUAUACGUAUAAUAAAUAUACGUAAAUAAUAAAUAUUUUAUUUAUUUAUUAUUAUUUAUUAAAUAUUAAUAUUAAAUUCAAAAUUAUAUUAAAUAAUUAAAAUUAGAAUUAUAUUCUAUAUUAAAUAAUUGUAAAAAAAUAAUUAUAUAAUUGAAUAUUUUAUAAUUAUAAUAUAUAUAUAAUUAUAAUAUAAUUGAAUAUUUUUAUUUAUUUUUUAUUUUAUUUUAAUAUAAUUCAAUAUUCUAAAUUUAAUAUAAUUCAAUAUUAUAAUUAUAAUAUUCUAUUCAAUUAAAUAUUAUAAUAAAAUUAAAAUAAAAAAAUUCAAUAUUAAAAUUAAUAAAAUUUAAAAUAAAGUCUUACAAUUUGUAAAUAAAAUUAAAUUUUUUUUUACAAAUUGUAAAAAGAUUAAUGCAUAAAAUAAAUAUAAUAAGAGAUAAGAAGAGAUGCGACCGCUUCCUACAUAUUUUAUACCAUCUCCUACAAAGAAACUGGUAACACCAACUCCAUUGGUAAUUCCAUCAAUUAUUCGUUUAUCAAAAAAAUGAAUUAAUUCAGCUAAUUUUCUUAUACCUCCAAUAAAAGAUAUUUCAUAAAAAGCAUCUAUGUAACCUCGAUUAUAGGACCAGUUAUAUAUGACGUUUAUUAUUUUGUCCCAAAGAAUUCUCUUAGAACAUUUUUUAGCGAGCGAAUUAAAGAAAUUCAAAUUUUGUAACGAUGAAUAAACAGGCUUAUAAAAAGAGGACGCUAUAAAUAUUCCGAAAAAAGCUAUACUGACUGAAAAAAUUGCAUUUGUUACAAAUUCAUACCAAUCCACAGAAUUCUUUGAAUUUUGAUGCAAAAGUUUUAAAGACGGAGUUAACAGUUUUGACAAUAUAUCCACCUCCAUUCCUUUUUGAUUGAAACGAAUUUGAUUGAAAGGAAUUCCUAUGGCUCCAAUAAACAAAGCAAAUAGUACCAAGACAAGCAUAGAAAAUAACAUAGUAUUAUCCGAUUCAUGAGGAUAGGCAAAAAUCCUUUUAGUGUUAAAAUUUUUAAUAGUAAUAAAAGGCCACAUCAUCUUUCUUACAUUACCAUCAAUUUGAUAUGUGUUCUUCCAAAAAAAAGAAGCCCUUUCGUUAUUAUUCGUUGUUAAGAAAGGUAAUAAACCCAAACUUUCGUUAAGCAUUUUUUAUCCUUCUUUACCCCAUAAAGAUAUUGAAUAAAAUGAACUAUUUUUUUUACCACUGUAAUUUUUUAAAUGAACAUUUAAAUGUCCUUCAAAAGUAAGUAAAUAAACACGAAACAUAUAAAAUGCAGUUAAUCCGGCCGUGAAACAAGCUAUUAUUGCGAAAACCGGCGAAUACAACCAACUAUCGUUAAGAAUUUCAUCUUUGGACCAAAAACAGGCGAAGGGUGGAAUACCACAAAGAGAAAGUGUUCCUAAAAAAAAAGCAGUUUUUGUAAUUGGAAUAUGUUUUGUUAAACCACCCAUAAGAAUCAUAUUUUGACUCUUAUCUGGAGAAUAACCAACAAUAGCUUCCAUUGAAUGAAUAAUGGAUCCAUAUCCUAAAAACAAUAAUGCUUUCGAAUAGGCAUGAGUAAUCAAAUGAAAUAAAGCGACUCGAUAAGACCCCAUACCUAGAGCUAACAUCAUAUAACCUAAUUGAGACAUUGUAGAAUAGGCUAAACUUCUCUUAAUAUCUUUUUGAGGAAGAGCUAAAGUAGCUCCUAAAAAUAUUGUUAUUAUACCUAUCAAAGCUAUUAGAUUCAUUAUGUAAGGUAUGACUACAAAAAGAGGAAAAAGUCAAGCUACAAGAAAAAUUCUUGCCGCUACCAUAGUAGCAGCAUGUAUUAGAGCCGAAAUAGGAGUAGGCCCUUCCAUGGCAUCCAGUAACCAUACAUGGAGAGGAAAUUGUGCCGAUUUAGCAAUUGCGCCAGAAAAUACUAGAAAGGCACACAAAGUAACAAAUAAAAAAUGAACCUGAUUAUUAUAAACCAAGUUAUUCAAUAUUUUGAACAAAUCCCGAAAUUCGAAACUGCCCGUUAUCCAAUAAAUGCCCAAAAUUCCCAAUAAUAAACCAAAAUCCCCUACACGAUUAGUUACAAAGGCUUUUUGACAAGCAUUCGAUGCAAUAGGUCGUGUGAACCAAAACCCUAUUAAUAGAUAAGAACACAUUCCAACCAACUCCCAAAAAAUAUAAAUUUGUAUCAAAUUAGAACUAGUAACUAAUCCCAACAUUGAAGUAUUGAAAAAACUCAUAUAAGCAAAAAAUCUCAAAUAGCCUUGAUCAUGAGACAUAUAAUUGUCACUAUAAAAAAGAACCAUAAUUCCAACUGUAGUAAUUAAUACUGACAAAAUAGAAGUAAGUGGGUCAAUCAAGUGUCCGAAUUCUAAAGAAAAAUCAUUAUUGAUAGUCCACGACCAUAUAUAUUGAUAAAUAAAACUGCUAUUUAUUUGGUGAAUAGACAAGUCGAUUGAAAAAAUCAUGACUAUACUUAACAAGAAAAGGCUUGGAAAAGCCCACAUACGACGAAGUUUUUUUGUUGCCGCCGGAAAAAGUAGGAGUCCCGCUCCUAUUAACAUAGGAGCUGGGAAUGUAACAAAAGGUAUGACCCAUGAAUAUUGAUAUAUAUGUUCCAUAAAAAAACUUUUUGAAUUGAUAAUUAAUUGUUUCUUGUUUCUGAUUCAUCGGCUCUUAUAUCUUUUUAAAUAAGUCAGUCAAUAAAAAAAAAAUAUGUAAAACUUCAAUCGAAUUUUAUAUUCUUAAUUAUUCUGAAUUUUCCAAAAUACUUCACAUACAAAAUACUUCACAUAUUUAAAUCAAAAAGUUAAAAUUGGUCAAAUCAAAUAAAUAAAAAUAUUAGUGAAAAAAAAUACUUAUUCUAAAUAAAAAAAAUAAAUUAUAAUUUUAUUAUUAAAAUUUUAUUAUUAAUAUUAAUUACAUUCCAUAAUUAUUAAAUAUUAAUUACAUAUACAUAAUUAUUACAUUAAUUAUUAAUAUUAAUUUAAUUACAUAAUUACAAGUUUUUAUAUACAUAGAGAAAAGAUAAAGAAUUUUAACAAUUAUAAGAAAAGUAGUAUUUUUUUUCUUGAUAGAAAUAAAAAAAGAAAGAUGAUUUUAUCGGAUCCUUACUGGAUCAAAAUAAUUAUUUUUUUGAGUUCUUUUAUUUUUUUUAUUCAGAAUUAUUAACUAGUGGAUUUUGGAACGGAUUUAUUGCCUUUCAUUAUGUUUGUAGAAAAGACUAUCAUAUUUGAAACUUUUCCUUUACAUAAGAUAAAAAGCAAAGAAUUACUAAAUUUUUUUCCUUUUUUAACAAAUUAAUAGUCUCAUUCAAUUUGAAAAUUUUAAUUCAAUUAGAUAUACUUUUUCUUCAAGUUUGACCAAUUACUAGAAAAAUGAAGUUAAAGUCUUUUUAUUAGGAUAAAUAAAAUUUAGAGUCUUAAACUUUAUUGCUGUAUUUUAAUCCACGUAUAUAUGGAAUAUAAUGAAAAAGGCAGAAAUAGAAAAAAAAAUAAGCGGAUAGGCUUCUUUUUUGACAAGAGUAUAAUUGAGAGACUAAAUACAUAAAUAUAGUAAAGAACAAUUUUGUUUUGAACAAUAAAUGUCUUUCACAUCCAACUAUAACAAUAAACAACUUCUUUAUUAUGGCAGUUCCAAAAAAGCGCACUUCUAGAUCAAAAAAGCGUAUUCGAAAAAAUAUUUGAAAAAAAAAGGAUAUUGGGCAGUAUUAAAAGCUUUUUCAUUAGCGAAAUCUCUUUCUACAGGUAAUUCAAAAAGUUUUUUUGUGCAACAAAUAAAAAAUAAAAGGUUGUUUCUAAUAUAAAAUAGAAAUAUAUAUAAUAUAGAAUAGAAAAUAUAUAAAAUAUAUAGAAAAUAUAUAAAAAGGAUUUCCAUAUAUCUUUUUCAACUUUAGAACAUAUAUUAACUCAUAUAUCUUUUUCAAUCGUAUCACUUGUAAUUACAAUUCAUUUGAUAACUUUAGUAGUCGAUGAAUUUGUUGAACUAUAUGAUUCGUCAGAAAAGGGCAUGAUAACCACUUUUUCCUGUAUAACAGGAUUAUUAGUUACUCGUUGGAUUUCUGGGGGACAUUUACCAUUAAGCGAUUUAUAUGAAUCAUUAAUCUUUCUUUCAUGGGCUUUUUCCAUUAUUCAUAUGGUUCCGUAUUUUAAAAAUAUAAAAAUUAUUUAAGCGCAAUAACCGUCCCAAGUACUUUUCUUACCCAAGGGUUUGCUACUCAGGCCUUUUAACUAACACGCAUCAAUCCAAAAUCUUAGUGCCUGCUCUCCAAUCCCAGUGGUUAAUGAUGCACGUAAGUAUGAUGAUAUUGGGCUAUGCAGCUCUUUUGUAUGGAUCAUUAUUAUCAGUUGCAUUUCUAGUAAUCACAUUUCGAAAAAUCAUAAGAAUUAUUGAUGUUGAUAAAAGCAAUAAUUUAUUAAAUGAUUCAUUUUCCUUUAGCUUUAGUGGGAUACAAUAUAUGAUGGAAAGAAAGAAUGUUUUAAAAAAUAUUUAUUUUCUUUCUUCUAGGAAUUAUUACAGGUUUCAAUUAAUUCAACAAUUAGAUGACUGGGGUUAUCGUAUUAUAAGUAUAGGGUUUAUCUUUUUAACCAUAGGUAUUCUUUCGGGAGCAGUCUGGGCUAAUGAAGCAUGGGGAUCAUAUUGGAAUUGGGACUCCAAGGAAACUUGGGCAUUUAUUACGUGGACCAUAUUCGUAAUUUAUUUUCAUACUCGAACAAAUAAAAAUUUUGAGGGUUUAAAUUCCACAAUUGUUGCUUCUAUUGGUUUUCUUAUAAUUUGGAUAUGCUAUUUUGGAGUUAAUUUAUUAGGAAUAGACUACAUAGUUAUGGUUCAUUUACAUUAACAAUUAACAUCUAAUUGAAUUGAAGAAAGGAAAGGGUCUGACGGAUGCAACUAUAUGGGGCAGCAAAGCAUAUAUACAAAAAGCUUCGGGUAAACCGUUGAGAACCUUUUGAAUCAUUAUAUUACUUGAUUCAAAAAGUCAUUAUAUUACUUGAUUCAAAAAGUUCUCACAAAUGCCAAAAUAUUUAGUUACAAUUCCGUUUUUUUUAUUGAACUUAAAUUUAAGAGACGAAAAAAUAAGUUUUUUUCCUUGUAUAACAUAACGAUUUUAAAAAAUGAAAAAUCAUAGGAUUUCUUUUUCAUUUUGAGUUUUAUUUAGAAAAACUAUCUAUAAAAAUAAUUAGAUAGAAGAGCUUCGACCCUGCCAACUGAUAAUGAAAAAAGGAAAUCCGGAUAAAUACCAAUACCUAUUACAGGCAAAAGGAUAGAGAUCGAAACAAAUAACUCCCUCGGUCCAGAAUCAAAAAAAUAAGAGUUUGGAGCAUUAAACAGCUUGUAUUCAUAAAACAUCUGGCGUAACAUAGAUAAUAAAUAAAUAGGAGUUAAUAUCAUUCCAACUGCCAUUCCAAAAGUAAUUACUAUUUUUGACAUUAAAAGAUAUUUUUGGCCGGUAAUUAUUCCAAAAAAUACUGCCAAUUCCGCAAAAAAAUCGCUCAUGCCUGGUAAUGCAAGGGAAGCUAGUGAUAAGAUACUGAAUGUCGUGAAUAUUUUUGGCAUUAGUGUAGCCAUUCCGCCCAUUUCAUCAAGAUACACACGACGUAUUCUAUCAUAACCCGUUCCUACUAAGAAAAAAAGUGCAAUGCCAAUAAACCCAUGUUGAAGCUGCAUAGAUUAUUUGCAUGACGCCUACUAUUAUCAACCAGGGAGAAAAGAUAGAAUGAGCAUGAGGUAAUAAUUCCAUAUUGAUUCGAACCAACCCAUACUCCCCCAUUUUUAAUAAGAUUCCGGCUAGAAGCAUACAAGUACUGUAAUGUGCUUCCCCAUGGGUGUCUGGUAACCAUAUAUGUAAGGGUAUAAUCGGUAAUUUGACAGCAAAAGCAAUAAGAAAUCCAAUAUAAAAAUAUAUUUCUAGCACCACAGGAUAUGAUUGAUUGGCUGAUGUUUCAAAAUUGAAUCUUGGUUCAUUGGAACCAUAUAAAGCGAUACCCAAAGCUCCCAUUAAUAAAAAAACGGAACCCCCAGUAGUAUACAAAAUAAACUUUGUAGCUGAAUACAGACGUUUCUUCCCCCCCCCACAUGGAUAGAAGUAGAUAAAUCAGAAUUAAUUCUAACUCCCACAUGACAAAAAAAAGCAAAAGAUCUUGAGAAGAAAAUAAUCCUAUUUGACCACUAUACAUUGCUAACAUCAGAAAAUUAAAUAAGCGGGAAUCACGAGUAAUUGGCUAAGCCGCUAAAGUAGCUAAAGUGGUGAUAAAUCAUGUCAGUAAAAUAGGGCUUAAAGAAAAUCCAUCUAUUCCUAAUCUCCAGUAAAAAUCAAAAAAUUGGAUCCAUUUAUAAUCUUCUGUUGAUUGGAUUAAUGGGUCGUCCAAUUGGAAAUAAUAAGAGAAUGCAUAAGUCAUUAAAAGGAGUUCUAAAAUACAUAUAAACAAAGUAUACCACCUAAUUACCUUAUUUCCUCUAUGGGGGAAAAAGAAAAUUAAGGAACCCGCAGAUAUCGGUAAAACUACAAAUAUUGUUAACCAAGGAAAAGAAUUCGUGGUAAAGGCAAGAUACAUUUGGACUAGAAAAACCCGUACUCGAAAACAUAAUAUAUAUAUAUAUUUUGUAUUUUUUGUUUUUCGAGUACGGGUUUUUGUCGGUAAACAUAAAAUCAAAUGCAUUCAAGUGGAUUUUUCUGAAAAGUAUCAAUAAGCUAGACCCAUGCUUUGGGUUGUUUCAUGCCAUAAAUAAACUCGAACACUCAAGAAAUCUGUUGGACAGGCGGAUUCACAUCUCUUACAACCAACACAGUCUUCUGUUCUUAGAGCAGAAGCGAUUUGCUUAGAUUUACACUCAUCCCAAGGUAUCAUUUCUAAUACAUCUGUGGGGCAGGCUCGGACACAUUGAGUACACCCUAUACAUGUAUCAUAAAUCUUUACUGAAUGCGACAUUGGAUUUCUAAAUUUUUUAACGUCAUAAAAUUUCAAUCUAGUAAAUUUCUAAAUGAAUCGUCAUAUAUUUAGACACCAGACGAAUCAAUGAUUUAUCAGAAUUUUUCUAUUGAAUUCUGGAUUGACUCGUGAGAUAGGGCCAGGAUACUUUAAUUUCGUACGUUUUCGCAAACAUGAUCGGAUAAGUUACGUAUCAUACAUGCCAACUUGAAUUAAUGAAUAUGAAAAUUAUAUUCUAUAUGAUUAAUCCUACUUAUUCAACAAAUUCGAUUGAUUGAUACAUAUUGAUUUUCUAUUAUGAUAAAUUGACGAAACAAUAGCUGGUCCAAUAGCUGCUUCAGCGGCUGCAAUAGCUAUAACAAAAAUUGAAAAAAUAUUUCCCUUUAAUUGGCGACUAUUAAUAAAAUCAGAAAAUGUUACGAAAUUUAUAUUAACUGCAUUCAGUAUAAGUUCAAGGCACAUAAGGGCUCUACCAUAUUUCAUGAUCAAUCCAUAGAUACCGAUAAAAAAUAAAUAGGCACUCAAAGCGAGUACAUGUUCGAGCAUCAUUGACCAACUCCUUAUCAAUUUCGAUUUAUUUCAAUAUGAACAACAAUUCAACAUCAAUAGAUUGGAUUGACUAGAAUAAGAAUAUCCAAAGUACAGAACAAAGAAAUAUAUGGAUAAAGAUCAAAAUGGAUAUGGAUAAUAGAUCAAAUAAAAGAAUUUAUACAUAAAUAAUCUUUAAAUGGAAUUGAAAAAAAAAAUGUGAUAACAUAGAACAAAUAGAUUGGGGUUACUAAUUCUAAAGAUUUAUUGCUGACGAGCCGCAGCAAUCGCACCUAUCAAAGCAACUAAAAGAAUUAUUGAAAUGAAUUCAAACGGAAGAAAAAAAUCUGUUGAUAAAUGAAUUCCAAUUUGUUGACCAUUACUUAUUAAAUCUUGUUCUAUAAUCUGAUUUUAUUUUUGUAGUCCAAAUAAUCCCGUACCAUGAUGUAUCUGGAAUAAUAGUAAUUAGUGAAACAAAAAUACUUGUACAAAUUAAGGAAGUAACUCCGUUUCCAACAGUCCAAAGAUUAGAAUCUUUGUAAUAUUCUGAACCAUUCAUGAAUAUCACGGCAAAUAUAAUUAAAACGUUUAUGGCUCCUACAUAAAUAAGGAGCUACGCAGCAGCUACAAAAUGAGAGUUUGAUAAAAUAUAGAAUAAAGAUAUACAAACAAGAACCAACCCUAAUGAAAAGGCAGAAUAAAUUGGGUUGGUAAGUAAUACCACUCCUAGAACUCCUAAUAUAAGACCUAAUCCCAUAAAAAAUAAAAGAAAAUCAUGUAUUAGUCCAGGCAAAUCCAUUGCACGUAAAAUAAGAGAUAAAAAAAUUGAAUUGUUUUUUCAUGACCUUAUUGACCUGACCAGGAAAAAUUUAUUUAUAAUAGGUUCUAAACCAUAAGGGGUGUAAAUUACUAUAGGUAUAGCUAUUGUAUGAAUCUCAUUCUUUCUCGAAAAAGGCAUUCUAAAUUUAAUUUUAGAAAUAAUUAUGGCUAGAAUUACGCAUAUAUUAAUAGAUUUUCACAAAAAAAUAAAGCCGCGAUGCAAUUCUGACCAAUUAAAUCAAUAGCUGGAAUUUGUAAUUUUCGUAUUUAUUGACCAAGAAAAAUUAAAAAAAACCUAUUGCAGCCCUUUAGAUCAAAACAGAAUUUUAGUUUAAUAAUUGUACUUUUUAAUCAAUCAAAGCGUUUUAUCCUUUUUGUUUCUAGUUGAAUUCAAAAUUGUUCGAAUUGUAUAAUCGUCGACUACUGACAUUGGUAAACGACCUAAAGCAAUUUGAUUAUAAUUCAAUUCGUGAUGAUCAUAAGUGGAAAGUUCAUAUUCUUCAGUCAUUGAUAAACAAUUUGGUGGACAAUACUCAACACAGUUGCCACAAAAUAUACAGAUUCUGAAAUCAAUACUAUAAUUAAGCAACUGUUUCUUUCGAAUGUCAGUUUCCAAUUUCCAAUCAACAAUAGGUAGAUCUAUAGGACAUACCCGAACACAUACUUCACAAGCAAUGCAUUUAUCAAAUUCAAAAUGGAUUCGACCGCGGAAAUGCUCUGAUGUGAUUAAUUUUUCAUAAGGAUAUUGAAUAGUUACAGGUAAACGAUUUGCAUAGGAUAAGAUAAUCAUGAAACUUUGACCAAUAUAUCGUGCAACUCAUAUGGUUUGUUGCCCAUAAUUCAUGAACCCAGUUACCAUGGGAAACAUAUCAUGAAUAUUUAUGAAUGAUUUUCUAUUUUGUUUUUCUCUUAUUUGAAUUUGAAAACAAGCCAUGAAUAUAGAAAAAUAUUCCUUUUUUAUUCUUUUAUAGCGAAAGGAGUUGGAAAGAGGUUGUUAAUAAGAGAUUGCCGAGAGAAAUAGGUAAAAGAAAUUUCCAUCCAAGAUUUAAAAGUUGGUCCAUUCUUAGUCUAGGUAAAGUCCAUCUUGUUGUGAUAGGAAUGAACAAGAACAAAUAAGUUUUAACCAAUGUAAUACAGAUACCGAUUGUUAUUCUAAAAACUCCACCUAUUUUAUUUGUUUCAAAAGGCUCAGGAACGAAUAUAUAUGGAAUAGAGAUAUUCCAACCGCCCAAGUAAAGAACUAUUACAAAUAAUGAAGAAACUAAUAAGUUUACUUAGGAAGCAAUAUAAAAUAAACCAAAUUUGAUACCUGAAUAUUCGGUUUGAUAACCUGCUACUAAUUCUUCUUCUGCUUCUGGUAAAUCAAAAGGUAAUCUCUCACAUUCUGCUAGAGAAGAAAUAAAAAAAAUGAUAAAUCCUAUAGGUUGACGCGAUAAAUUCCACCCCAAAAAACCCGAUUUUGAUUGUGCCUCAACUAUAUCAAUUGUACUUGAACUGUUAGAUAAUCAUAGUCGGCGAGAACAUCACUGUUCCCAUCGCUAUUACAGAACCGUACAUGAGAUUCUCACCUCAUACAGCUCCUCGAAGGCCAUAAAUAAAUUUAAGGAGAUCGUAUUAUUUAUUUUGCUAUAUUUGUAGGAUAUAUAGGAUCAAAAUAAAAUAAUCUAAUUGAUAGAGGAAGCAUCGUAAAGAUCAAUUAGCGAGAUUUUUGGACGAUACAGUAAUAACCUGCUUACUUAUGUCAUAAUAUGAGAUAAAAGUUAGGAAUCAACUUCUGUAAAAGAGUAGAUCCCCUAAAGUAUUGAGCAGCGGUGUAGCAUCAGAUCCCAAAGAUAGUAAGUCUUUCUUAUGAGGGAAGGUCUUUUCCAAAGAUUCUAUAUAAAUUUCUAUAUAAAAAACCCGAGAUAGUUAACUUUCAAAAAAUUCUAACGAUAGUAGAAGGUCUGCGCUUUAUUCUUCUGAAGGUGGGAGAAAAGAUAAAACUGAUUUUUCAUCCAAAUUCUAGUUUGAAUUUCAUGUAAUGUAAUUAACCCCUUUUGGUUAACUCGAGAAAGAAAAUGGGACACCAAAAGAAUUGACUGCCGAGCUGUAUGAGGUAGGAAACUCUCAAGUACGGUUCUAAUGGAAGGAAUUUGCUUGCCUAUUCUGACCGAGGAGAACAGGCCAUUCGGCAGGGAGAUUUUGAAAUUGCGGAGGCUUGGUUGGAUCAAGCCGCAGAGUAUUGGAAACAAGCUAUAGCGCUUACUCCCAUAAAUUAUAUUGAAGCGCAGAAUUGGUUGAAGUUCACAAGGCAUUUUGAAUAAGAUAAGAGCAUUCCCUUUAUAUUUUUGUAUUUAUUAUUUAAUUUAGUAUUUUUUUAGUAUUUGGUAUAUUUUUUUAUUUCUUAUAAAAAAUUUGUUAUAAUUAUUUGUUUGUUAUCCCUAUCAGUCAAAUAAAAUAAAAGGAUGGUUUCUCUGGGAAGAACCAAUCAAAAAAUUUCAUGAAUUUCAUUAUACCCCUUCUAAGAUCGUCCCCUUUUGUCUGGUAUUUCAUAGGAAUAAACACUACACAGAUAUAAACAGUAGAGAAUAUAUAUUUUCUAUAUUUUCUUUUCUGUUAUUAAAAUGAAUAAAAGAUAGCCUAAUAGAUCCUGGAAUGUCUCUUACUAAUGACUAAUGGCCUCUCACCUGAUUUGGAAUAGAGUAAUAGUAAUAUGUUCUAUGUAAAAAAAAAACAUAAGUAAAAUAUAAAGCAGUCUCGGCUAGAAACUUUUAAUUAAGAUAGGAAUACACUAGGUUGCACAAAAAAUUGUUUUUGCGUUAAUUCAAAGCCCAGAAAGGUCCGUUGAGCGCCUUGUGGCUAUGUCAUAAUAGAUCCGAACACUUGCCUUGGAUCGACUUCCAGAUCAUAAUUACUCUAGUGAAUAACUAAAAAAACUAGAUAAGAUAAAUGGGAGAUAGAAGAGAAAGAAACUAAUUAUAAGUAUCUCUCAUAGGUUCACUAAUUGCUUGACUCGAUUGUUGGCGGAUCUCUUUAUAUGCGUUGUCCGGAAAGAGGAGGACUCAAUGAUUAUUCAUUCGCCGGAACCAGAAGUAUAAAUUUUGGUAGAUAGGGAUCCCGUCAAAACUUCUUUCGAGGAAUGGGCUAGACCGGGUCAUUUCUCAAGAACAAUAGCUAAAGGACCAGAUACUAAUCUGGAACCUACAUGCUGAUGCUCACGAUUUCGAUAGCCAUACCAGUGAUUUGGAGGAGAUUUCUCGAAAAGUAUUUAGUGCUCAUUUCGGCCAACUCUCAAUCAUCUUUCUUUGGCUGAGUGGCAUGUAUUUCCACGGUGCUCGUUUUUCCAAUUAUGAAGCAUGGCUAAGUGAUCCUACUCACAUUGGACCUAGUGCCCAAGUGGUUUGGCCAAUAGCCAAGAAAUAUUGAAUGGUGAUGUGGAGGGGGGGGGGGGGGGUUCCGAGGAAUACAAAUACAGGAUUUCCAUCAAUCGAAUCACUUUCUUAAGAAAUACGAGACAUCUAAGUCAUACAAGUAAAGAGAUUCAUCCAUUGAUAAGAAAAAGAAAAAACGUGAAUGGUGAUUGGAUUGAUGAUAAAAUAGAAUCCUUGGUCGCGAACAGUGAUUCGAUUGAUGAUAAAGAAAGAGAAUUCUUGGUUCAAUUCUCCACCUUAACGACAGAAAAAAGGAUUGAUCAAAUUCUAUUGAGUCUGACUUGUAGUGAUCAUUUAUCAAAGAAUGACUCUGGUUAUCAAGUGAUUGAAGAGCCGGGAGCAAUUUAUUUAUGAUACUUAGUUGACAUUCAUAAAAAGUAUCUAAUGAAUUAUGAGUUCAAUACACCCUGUUUAGCAGAAAGACGGAUAUUCCUUGCUUAUUAUCAGACAACCACUUAUUCACAAACCUCGUGUAGGGUGAAUAGUUUUCAUUUCCCAUCUCAUGGAAAACCCUUUUCGCUCCGCUUAACUAUGUUUAUACUCAAGUAAUCAAAUAUGUCAUGGUUACAGGAGUCUAUACAUCGCAUAUAGGCUUUAACAGCAUCGUGGCAUAACCGUCGAGGUGAGUUCGGGACCUAAAAGAUCGAAUAGAAAGAGACAUAGACAAAUAAAUCCCUUACGAAUUCUAAGGUACUAGGAUUUUAUCAUUCGAAGGGAAGUAUACUACUCAAGAAUUUCACAUUUCAUUUAGAUCGUAAUUGUGAAAAUUGAAUAAGUUGUGAUAAUUGAAUAAAGAAUUCAGAAAUUCGAAAAAAAAAGGAAGAAGGAAUUAAUGAGAGCUUGCUUGGUGUUCAUUAUUCAUUGGGAACUUGAGUAAGGAGUAGCUCUUUUUUUGGUUUUUACCGAUUUUGAAAUUUGAAAGCAGGAACCCUUUUCUUUCUAUUUGGUAUAACUACUUGAGCCGGAUGAGAGGAAACUUUCACGUCCGAUUUUGAAAGGGGGAGACCUAUAGUAUAGGAGUAUAGGAUCCUAUCCCAAUUUUUCUUUUGCUAGGCCCAUAGCUAAAAAACCUACUUUUUUACGAUUACGAGGUUCAUUCGAAUACGAAAUUCAAUCAUGGAAAUACAGUAUUCCACUUUUUUUUACUGCCCAAGGCUUCGAUACAUUUCAAAAUCGAGAAAUUUCUAUAGGAGCUGGUGCUAUCCGAGAAUAAUUAGCCGAUCUAGAUUUGCGAAUUAUUAUAGAUUAUUCAUCGGUAGAAUGGAAAGAAUUAGGGGAAGAAGGGCCUACGGGGAAUGAAUGGGAAGAUCGAAAAGUUGGAAGAAGAAAGGAUUUUUUGGUUCGACGCGUGGAAUUAGCUAAGCAUUUUAUUCGAACAAAUAUAGAACCAGAAUGGAUGGUUUUAUGUCUAUUACCAGUUCAUCCUCCCGAGUUGAGACCGAUCAUUCAGAUAGAUGGGGGUAAACUAAUGAGUUCAGAUAUUAGUGAACUCUAUAGAAGAGUUAUCUAUCGGAACAAUACUCUUAUUGAUCUAUUAACAACAAGUAGAUCUACGCCAGUAGAAUUAGUAAUGUGUUAGGAAAAAUUAGUACAAGAAGUCGUGGAUACACUUCUUGAUAAUGGAAUCCGCGGACAACCAAUGAGAGAUGGUCAUAAUAAGGUUUACAAGUCAUUUUCGGAUGUAAUUGAAGGCAAAGAAGGAAGAUUUCGUGAGACUAUGCUUGGAAAACGAGUUGAUUAUUCGGGGCGUUCUGUCAUUAUCGUAGGCCCCUCAAUUUCAUUACAUCGAUGUGGAUUGCCUCGCGAAAUAGCAAUAGAACUUUUCCAGAUAUUUGUAAUUUGUGGUCUAAUUAGACAACAUCUUGCUUCGAACAUAGGAGUUGCUAAGAGUAAAAUUCGAGAAAAAGAGCCAAUUGUAUGGGAAAUACUUCAGGAAGUUAUGCAGGGGCAUCCUGUAUUACUAAAUAGAGCACUGACUUUGCAUAGAUUAGGCAUACAGGCAUUCCAACCCAUUUUAGUGGAAGGCCGCGCUAUUUGUUUACAUCCAUUAGUUUAUAAGGGAUUCAAUGCAGACUUUGGUGGGGAUCAAAUGGUUGUUCAUGUACCUUUAUCAUUGGAGGCUCAAGCGGAGGCUCGUUUACUUAUGUUUUCUCAUAUGAAUCUCUUAUCUCCAGCUAUUGGAGAUCCCAUUUCCAUACCAACUUAAUAUAUGCUUAUUGGGCUCUAUGUAUUAACAAGCAGGAAUCGCCGAGGUAUUUGUGCAAAUAGGUAUAAUCUAUGUAAACACAGAAAUUAUCAAAAUGAAAGAAUUUACGAUAAUAACAAUCAAUAUACGAAAGAAUCCUUUUUUUCUAAUUCCUAUGAUGCAAUUGGUGCUUAUCGGCAGAAAAGAAUCAAUUUAGAUAGUCCUUUGUGGCUCCGGUGGCAACUAGAUCAACGCGCUAUUGCUUCAAGAGAAGCUCCCGUCGAAGUUCACUAUGAAUCUUUGGGUACCUAUCAUGAGAUUUAUGAACACUAUCUAAUAGUAAGAAAUAUAAAAAAAGAAAUUCUUUGUAUAUACAUUCGAACUACUGUUGGUCAUAUUUCUCUUUAUCGAGAAAUCGAAGAAGCUAUACAAGGGUUUUGCCAAGCCGGCUCAGAUGGUAUCUAAUCAUAGGGAUCUAAGCUAAGUAAUUCUAUGACACUGGCAUGAAUUCUGAUCUCUUCGGUUCAGCUAGGACCCUAGUUCCUGAAUUUCAUUUCCAUGCAAAUCAAGAUCGAGAAAAGGAAGUUUCCAAUCAUUGACUCAAAUCCAUUGUCGAACUCUACUCGGCGGAAUAUGGAGGUACUUAUGGCCAAACGGGCCAAUCUGGUCUUUCACAAUAAAGUGAUAGAUAGAACUGCCAUUAAACGACUUAUUAGUAGAUUAAUAGAUAAUUUUGGAAUGGCAUAUACAUCACACAUCCUGGAUCAAGUAAAGACUUUGGGUUUCCAGCAAGCCACUGCUAUAUCCAUUUCAUUAGGAAUUGAUGAUCUUUUAACAAUACCUUCUAAGGGAUGGCUAGUUCAAGAUGCUGAACAACAAAGUUUGAUUUUGGAAAAACACUAUCAUUAUGGAAAUGUACACGCGGUAGAAAAAUUACGCCAAUCUAUUGAGAUAUGGUAUGCUACAAGUGAAUAUUUGCGACAAGAAGUGAAUCUUAAUUUUAGGAUGACAGAACCCUUUAAUCCAGUCCAUAUAAUGUCUUUUUCGGGAGCUAGGGGAAAUGUAUCUCAAGUACACCAAUUAGUUGGUAUGAGAUGAUUAAUGUCGGAUCCACAAGGACAAUGAUCGAUUUACCUAUUCAAAGCAAUUUACGCGAAGGACUAUCUUUAACAGAAUAUAUCAUUUCUUGCUACGGAGCCUGCAAAGGGGUUGUCGAUACCGCUGUAUGAACAUCAGAUGCUGGAUAUCUUACGCGUAGACUUAUUGAAGUAGUUCAACACAUUGUUGUACGUAGAACAGAUUGUGGCACCACCCGAGGGAUUUCUGUGAGUCCUCGAAAUGGGAUGAUGUCAGAAAGAAUUUUUAUUCAAACAUUAAUUGGUCAUGUAUUAGCAGACAAUAUAUAUAUAGGUCUAUGAUGCAUUGCCAUUCGAAAUCAAGAUAUUGGGAUUAGACUUGCCAAUCGAUUCAUAACCUUUCAAACACAAACAAUAUCUAUUCGAACUCCCUUUACUUGAAGGAGUACGUCUUAGAUCUAUCGAUUAUGUUAUAGCCGGAGUCCUACUCAUGGCGAUCUAGUGGAAUUGGGGGAAGCUAUAGGUAUUAUUGCAGGUCAAUCCAUUGGAGAGCCGGGUACUUAACUAACGUUAAGAACAUUUCAUACUGGCGGAGUAUUCACAGGGGGUAGUGCAGAACAUGUAUGAGCCCCUUCUAAUGGAAAAAUAAAAUUUAACGAGGAUUUGGUUCAUCCCAUACGUACACGUCAUAGGCAUCCUGCUUUUCUAUAUUAUAUAGACUUGUAUGUAACUAUUGAAAGUCACGAUAUUAUACAUAACGCUACUAUUCCACCAAAGAGUUUCCUUUUAGUUCAAAACAAUUAAUAUGUAGAAUCAGAACAAGUGAUUUCUGAAAUUCGGGCGGGAACAUACACUUUGAAUUUUAAAGAGAAGGUUCGAAAACAUAUUUAUUCCGAUUCAGAAGGGGAAAUGCACUGGAGUACUGAUGUAUACCAUGCACCUGAAUUUACAUAUAGUAAUGUCCAUCUCUUACCAAAAAUAAGUCAUUUAUGGAUAUUAUCAGGAAAUUCGUGCAGAUCUAGUAUAGUUCCUUUUUCGCUCCAUAAGGAUCAAGAUCAAAUGAACGUUCAUUCUCUUUCUAUCAAAAGAAGAUAUAUUUCUAGUCCUUCCGUAAAUUCCGUAAAUAAUGAUCAAGUUAUAUUUCUUUAGUUAAGAUUUUUCGGGUAAAAAACCAAGUAGGGUUCUGAGGACUCAAUCGUAUGGAUAUGUAAAAUACAGGAUUUCCAAUCCUAGCAGGAAAGGGAGGGAAACGGAUACUCAAUUUAAAGUGAGGAGGCACUAGUCACUGCGACCCCCUUUGUGAGGAGGCACCCCUUCUCCCGAAGUUACGGGGCUAUUUUGCAGAGUUCCUUAGAGAGAGUUGUCUCGCGCCCCUAGGUAUUCUCUACCUACCUACCUGUGUCAGUUUCGGGUAUAGGUACCCUUUUGUUAAAGGUUGUUCGAGAUUUCCUGGGAGUAUGGCAUGGGUUACUUCAGCGCCGUAGAUGAUCAAUUGGAUUAUUUCUUUGUGAAUUCCGAUACGAAACUUUUGUAGAUGUGUUUUCAGAUAUUUCUUUAUCAUUUCGUCCAAGCGAAUGAGUUCCUCUAAUUCUAUGAACUUUUCUAGAAUACUUUUUUCUUGAAUAUCAUUUACAAAAGUUUCGGAUUUACUAGUAUUACACCAAUUAAUAACCCAAGAUUCCAAACUUUUAUUAAAUAAAAAAGAGAUCCACCAGGGCAAAAAAACUAUAGCUGUAAGAUAUAGAAAGGGAAUAAAUGUUUUUUUUUCAUUUUUUCGUCUGUGAAUUUUUAAUGAACACACCUCCAUAUGAUCUAAUAUUUUUAUCAAGCAUAAGUUCUAUUAUGAGGCUUUGAACUUAUGAAUCUAUUCCCUAUUUUUUAUUUGUGAGUCAACGGUUAGUCCUUGAAUUUUGAAAGANNNNNNNNNNNNNNNNNNNNNNNNNNNNNNNNNNNNNNNNNNNNNNNNNNNNNNNNNNNNNNNNNNNNNNNNNNNNNNNNNNNNNNNNNNNNNNNNNNNNNNNNNNNNNNNNNNNNNNNNNNNNNNNNNNNNNNNNNNNNNNNNNNNNNNNNNNNNNNNNNNNNNNNNNNNNNNNNNNNNNNNNNNNNNNNNNNNNNNNNNNNNNNNNNNNNNNNNNNNNNNNNNNNNNNNNNNNNNNNNNNNNNNNNNNNNNNNNNNNNNNNNNNNNNNNNNNNNNNNNNNNNNNNNNNNNNNNNNNNNNNNNNNNNNNNNNNNNNNNNNNNNNNNNNNNNNNNNNNNNNNNNNNNNNNNNNNNNNNNNNNNNNNNNNNNNNNNNNNNNNNNNNNNNNNNNNNNNNNNNNNNNNNNNNNNNNNNNNNNNNNNNNNNNNNNNNNNNNNNNNNNNNNNNNNNNNNNNNNNNNNNNNNNNNNNNNNNNNNNNNNNNNNNNNNNNNNNNNNNNNNNNNNNNNNNNNNNNNNNNNNNNNNNNNNNNNUUAAAAGAGAAUUUCUUUAUUCUAUAUUUUAUUCCGAAAUACUUUGUUUUGAUUUAUGAGAUGGGUCUAUUAUUUCGAUUUAUUACUUGUUUUGUUACUAAAUUUACUGAAUAUUGAAAUUGAAUUUAGAUACACAUAAAAAGGUUUGAUUUUAUUUUAGAAUUGUUCCGUAUAUAUCCGUAUAUAUAUAUAUAUAUAUAUAUAAUAUAUGUCUUCUUUAGUUCAUCAAUAUUGUAUUGUGAAAUUUCAGUUAAGUUAUGCUAUAACUAUAAAAAAACGAAGACUCUUGGAUUUUUUCAUUCCUGUUAAGAAAAUGUUCAUUCUUCAGCUCAUUUCAAAAUACUUCAAUUGGUACACGCAAAAAAUAGGCCAAUUCCGCUACCUUUUGCUCAAUCUCUCGUGGAGUCAAAUUCUCAUCAGUACGAGUCAAAGGAAUGGACCCUCGGCCUUUGGUUUCCAUAUAAAGGACACGCCGAGCAAAAAUACCCUCUUUCACUUCUAUUCUAAUAGACUGAAUAUCCUUCAUAAGGAAUCGGAGGAAGAUGCGACGAUUUUUUCCAGGGAAUCCCCAGCGAAAAAUACACACUAUUCCUUCUUUUCUGUCGAAUCGAUCAUAACCACUACCUACAUUCCACAAAAUUGUGUACCACAAAUAAGAACUAAUAAAUAGACCGGCAAUCCCAUAGAAAGACAUCACGAUCCCUUGUGGAAAAAAAAUUAUUUGCUGAGACGGAAAUAAAGAUAUCAAAUUUCUGCCAAGAUAACUCGAAAUUCCAACCAUUAAAAUCCCAAUGAACCUAAAAAAAGUAUAAAGGCCCAGCAGAAAUUACUUGUUUUGCGAGACCCCGCUAUAAGUUCUAUCCAUAUAUGUUCUUAUCGCCAACUCAUACUAGAUCCAAUUAUUUUUUAUUUGAAGCGGGAGACUAGCCCAAAUGAAUUUGACUUUUUUUUUUUUUUUUUCCGAAGUAACUUUCAUCAACUCAGAUUAUUCUGGUGUGAAUCUUUAGGAGGAAUUCAUCGAGUUCGUUAGAUUAAAAAAAAGAGAGCUCAGCCCCCCUAUAGGAUCCCCUAUCUGCACAUAUAUAAAAAUAUCAGCUUUACUUUGCAUUUCUUUCAAGCAUCCGCCACAGUUUCGAUUUAUUUUCAAAUAGUCCAUUUACUUAUAUAUCAUAUAUCAUAUUUACAUCUGCAUAAGAACCCUUUCAUUUUCAUUUACGUUUGAAGGGAGCUGCUCGUAUGUUAUAUCAUAUUAUACUAAACUAAAGAGAUAUCCAUAUUAUAUCUGUAUUAUAUUAUAAUCCAAGUCUAAGUCUUGAAAAAAAAAAAGAAAUGAAAUCUACCCCCGUUAGACCUAAUUGGAUCUAAAAAAUCUUAUUUUUUUGAACAUGAAGAGAUAAGGAAGCCAUCGCAAUUGCCGGCAAUACUAAGCCUACUAAAGGCACAAAAAUGGAGGGUAAGCUGUUGAGAAUUGUCAUAGAAUAGGCACCUCGAUUUAAUAUUUGUACCUGUUAUUUAAUUUUUUUAUUAUAUAUUAUAUUAUUUUUAUAUUAUAUUAUUUUGAAUAUUUUAAUAUAUAUUUAAUAUAUUUAUAUAUUUUCAUUAUUUUUUUUAUUAUUAUUUUUUAUUAUUAUAAUUAUUUUUUUAUUAAUUAUUAUUUUAUUCUAUUAAUUUAAUAAUUUAAAUUAAUUAUAAUUAUAUUUAUAUUAAUUAUUCUAUUAUUAGUUAUUUAUUAGUUAUUUAGUUAUUAGAAAGAUUUCUUAUAAUCAUUAAAAUUCAUAUAUAAUUAUACUAAGUAUAUCUAAGUGAGUAUAUAUAAUAUAAUAAAGUGCAAAGAGCGUAGAACUAACUAAAUGACUUAUUCAUAUUUCUACAUGAAAUAUGAUAAUCCAUUUAUUUGUUAUUCUUCUUUUAUUAUCUUUUUUUUUCUUGUCUUAUAACUUUCAUUUUUCUUUUUUCUUUUUUUUUAACUUUACUUUAAUAGAAAAUAUUUUAAUAUAUUUCGUAUAAAAUAAAAUAAAAAAGAGUUUUUCCGAUUAUAAAUUUCCCCAAAAUUCGUUAUAAUUUAGAAUCCGUCGAUUUUUUUUAGUAAAAAAAAAGGGAUUCCCGGGAGAUAUAUAAUUAUGCAAAACUCUAUAUUUUCUAUGCAUAGGUAAGAAAAGAACAUGAAAUUCGUUUUAUUUAUUAUACCUUGUCCAUUUUUUCACGAAAAAAGAAAUUUACUCUUUUUCUUGUUGAUCUUGUUGAUAGAGGUUUCUUAAUUAGUAAUCAGAAAUAUCGGUAAAAAAAAAUUAUCUACAUGAUUCUUUCUACAAUUUACUCUUAUGUUAUGUCACAAAAAAAUCAAAAAAAUUGAUUUUUCCUUUGAUUCUGCUAAAAAAAAUACCUGCUCGCCAGAAAUAAAAAUGAAUUAACUAAUUUAAAUUUAAUUAACUCAUUUUUAUUUUUACUUUUAAUUAAGUAAUUUAAUUUAAUAUUUAAUUAAUUUAACUUUAGACUCUACUUGAUUUAUGAUUCAAAGGAAAGAAAUCGUGGAGCUGAAGUAACUCAUUCAGAACGCCUUUUAACGGAUUACGUGGUACGAUUGAAUCGAAUAAGCCCUUAUAGAAUAAAAAUUCGGCUGAUUGUGAACCUUCAGGUACUGUCUUAUUCAAUGUUUGUUCAAUUACUCUUUUACCUGCAAAUGCAAUAUAGGCGUUAGGUUCAGCAAUAAUGAUAUCCCCCAACAUACCAAAACUAGUCGUCACCUCGCCUGUUGUAGGAGAUGUAAGGAUUGAUACAUAAAAUAACUUUUUAUUCGAUUGAUAAUCAUAUAAAGCAGAAGAUAUUUUAGCCAUUUGCAUCAAGCUCAAACUUCCUUCUUGCAUGCGCACUCCUCCGGAAAGACACACUAAAAUAAGAGGUAAAAAUUUAUUGGUAGCAUACUCGAUCAAAUGAGUGAUUUUCUCACCUACUACGGAUCCCAUACUACCCCCUAUAAAUUGAAAAUCCAUAAUCCCAAUUGCUACGAGAGUGCCGUUUAGUUGACCUGUGCCUGUUUCAAUGGCCUCGGUUAAUCCUGUCUUUCUUUGAUAAGAAUCAAUACGAUCUUUAUAAGGUUCCUCUUCUGAAUGAAAUUCAAUGGGAUCCAGAGAUACCAUAUCUUCAUCCAUAGGAUCCCAAGUGCCUAGGUCAAUCGAAAGUUCAAUUCUAUCUGAACUACUCAUUUUCAAAUGAUAUCCACAUUGUUCACAAAUAUUCAUUCUUGACUUAAAAAAUUUCUUAUAAUUUAAUCCAUAACAAUUUUCGCAUUGAACCCACAAAUGCUUGUAUUUUUGAGUUAUAGUUAUAUCGAGAUCAUUAGAACUUUCUCUUCUAGUUAAAUCGCUACCAUUCGUACUAGUUCUUAGACUGGAACUCUGGCUUUCAUUACUAUUUCCACUUUCACCACAAAUGUAACUAUAAAUGGAACUUUCGCUGUAAUUGUAACUGCCAGUUA
rnacentral:lncRNA from 1 species